CCCACCCACUUCAUCUUCCCCAAACAUCACUACCAACAUCUCCUGAAUCCACAAGCUCCCUGUUAAACAUUUAGAAGUCAUUGAAGAAAACAGUGCUGAAAGAUUCCCUCCAGAUUUGAGUUAUGAUGAUAACAGAGUGAAUUUAAUACGGCGAAUAGAUUUUGCUUGGACCGUAGAGAGAGAAGAAUUAAACAAGAAGCAGAAAAAUGGUGACGCAAUCGCUUCUUCUUCUUCUAAAGACGCAUCGUCAUAACCGUGGCCAUGGCAGAACAUGAUCGAGAAUCUACAGUUGGCUUCUUGGUCAUGGCGUCAAUAUCUAUGCACUGGAUUCCAUCUUCAUUACGACUUGGAACUUUUGGUGGGAGGUCACUUGGAACUGUUCCAUUCAAGUGGUUAUAGUAGAAUUUGUAAUUGUAAUCUUCGCAUAUGUAGUGGCUUCUGUAACUAUGUUGCUCAAAAUAAAUAUUUCUUUGUUGGGAGCA